CGGGCGCAAUCGACCGAGUACGAAGCUGGGGAGCGAACAGGAUAGAACCCUGGUAGUCCACGCCGUAAACGGUGGGCACUAGGUGUGGGCGACAUUCCACGUCGUCCGUGCCGCAGCUAACGCAUUAAGUGCCCCGCCUGGGGAGUACGGCCGCAAGGCUAAAACUCAAAGUGAAUUGACGGGGGCCCGCACAAGCGGCGGAGCAUGUGGCUUAUUCGACGCAACGCGAAGAACCUUACCAAGGCUUGACAUACACCGGAAAGCAUUAGAGAUAGUGCCCCCCUUGUGGUCGGUGUACAGGUGGUGCAUGGCUGUCGUCAGCUCGUGUCGUGAGAUGUUGGGUUAAGUCCCGCAACGAGCGCAACCCUUGUCCCGUGUUGCCAGCAGGCCCUUGUGGUGCUGGGGACUCACGGGAGACCGCCGGGGUCAACUCGGAGGAAGGUGGGGACGACGUCAAGUCAUCAUGCCCCUUAUGUCUUGGGCUGCACACGUGCUACAAUGGGCCGGUACAAUGAGCUGCGAUACCGCGAGGUGAGC
rnacentral:rRNA from 1 species